AUGGCUGUCGUCAGCUCGUGUCGUGAGACUGUUGGGUUAAGUCCCGUAACGACGCGCAACCCUUGUCCUUAGUUACCAGCACGUUAUGGUGGGCGACUCUAAGGAGACUGCCGGUGACAAACCGGAGGAAGGUGGGGAGUGACGUCAAGUCAUCAUGGCCCUUACGGCCUGGGCUACACACGUGCUACAAUGGUCGGUACAAAGGGUUGCCAAGCCGCGAGGUGGAGCUAAUCCCAUAAAACCGAUCGUAGUCCGGAUCGCAGUCUGCAACUCGACUGCGUGAAGUCGGAAUCGCUAGUAAUCGUGAAUCAGAAUGUCACGGUGAAUACGUUCCCGGGCCUU
rnacentral:rRNA from 1 species